rfam:Cicer arietinum chromosome Ca7, whole genome shotgun sequence.
GGUCUGAUGCCACGUCUCUUGUAGCUAUAAAUAUGAGCUCUGACCAGAGAUGCUAUGAUUGGACCUAAAUUAAGAGUGAAUUUCAUUUGUUUUGCAUUCUGAUAGGAAUCUGCUGAUCCUUUAUACUAUGAUUCUGCAGAGCCGAUUUGUGCGAUUACAUUU